AUGAGACAAUUAGAGUUUUGAGCGAUUGUUUUAUAACUGAUUGCAAUUUUUGACAACCCGGAUCAUCAAACAAUUUAAAACUACGUUUACUGUGUUCGGUUAGGUACUGGUUAUCCGUUGGCCAAAUUCUGUGAGGUAAACAAAACUUUUUCGGCGAUAUCGUAACCAUGUAGCAAACGCUUUUUUGUUUUUGUUUUUUCUUAUGAUGCAGAACCAUUACAAGUUACUUUGUUAUGUACAUAUGUCAGAAUAAUUAAAUUGUUAUUAUUAUUAAUUUAUUUUAAAUUGGAUUCUCCGUCUGUAAAAUAAAUAAAUAAACAGCAAAACACCCAGGUUGUGAUUUUUUUUCCUCUUAAAGUUGUUAUUGACAACUCAAAAUUAUUAUUGAAAACUUGGAUAUAACAUUAU